rnacentral:rRNA from 1 species
UGGGGAAUUUUGGACAAUGGGGGCAACCCUGAUCCAGCAAUGCCGCGUGUGUGAAGAAGGCCUUCGGGUUGUAAAGCACUUUUGUCCGGAAAGAAAACGUCGUGGUUAAUACCCGUGGCGGCUGACGGUACCGGAAGAAUAAGCACCGGCUAACUACGUGCCAGCAGCCGCGGUAAUACGUAGGGUGCAAGCGUUAAUCGGAAUUACUGGGCGUAAAGCGUGCGCAGGCGGUCCGCUAAGACAGAUGUGAAAUCCCCGGGCUUAACCUGGGAACUGCAUUUGUGACUGGCGGGCUAGAGUAUGGCAGAGGGGGUAGAAUUCCACGUGUAGCAGUGAAAUGCGUAGAGAUGUGGAGGAAUACCGAUGGCGAAGGCAGCCCCCUGGGCCAAUACUGACGCUCAUGCACGAAAGCGUGGGGGAGCAAACAGGAUUAGAUACCCUGGUAGUCCACGCCCUAACGAUGUCAACUAGUUGUCGGGUCUUCAUUGACUUGGUAACGUAGCUAACGCGUGAAGUUGACCGCCUGGGGAGUACGGUCGCAAGA